UGGGGAAUAUUGGACAAUGGGCGCAAGCCUGAUCCAGCCAUGCCGCGUGAGUGAUGAAGGCCCUAGGGUUGUAAAGCUCUUUCGACGGGGAAGAUAAUGACGGUACCCGUAGAAGAAGCCCCGGCUAACUUCGUGCCAGCAGCCGCGGUAAUACGAAGGGGGCUAGCGUUGCUCGGAAUCACUGGGCGUAAAGCGCACGUAGGCGGGUCUUUAAGUCGGAGGUGAAAUCCUGGAGCUCAACUCCAGAACUGCCUUCGAUACUGAGGAUCUCGAGUCCGGGAGAGGUGAGUGGAACUGCGAGUGUAGAGGUGAAAUUCGUAGAUAUUCGCAAGAACACCAGUGGCGAAGGCGGCUCACUGGCCCGGUACUGACGCUGAGGUGCGAAAGCGUGGGGAGCAAACA
rnacentral:rRNA from 1 species